GCAAAGACCUAAAUGAACGUUGAUUUUUACCAAUCAUGAGGAUCGCCAGUCAGCAAUGGCUCAAACGGGUUCGGUAGCGGCAAAGUUUUUGGACAAUAAGCCCCACACUGAGUCCAGUUCGAACAGAAUUAAAUGCCGACCACCGCCAGUCAUUGACUAUGCACUCGGCUAUUGUAUAGGGCAAUUGUAGCCUCUGGAGUAGUUCGAAGU